rnacentral:lncRNA from 1 species
CUCAGAGUAUCCUGCCUUUGGCAAAUCGUGCUGUUAAGACACUGAUCAGAUCAGCUCUGAAAAAGAUCUGAUGUGAUUGGUCAAAAUACCAAUUAGUGGGGGGAAAAAGAUCAGAAUUGGGCUGCCUGUGUAAACGCAUACAUGGUCUGUGAAGAAAUAUCCACAGAUUCAGUUUCAUGCAAUAUGAACUGAAUUGAAUGAUUGUACUUGGGGAAACUACUGAAUCUAAUAUUUAGCCAUUUAACCAAACAUCAGAAACUACAAUGACACAGUUCAACAACAAACGGUCUAUCCUCUAAUACAGGAGGACAAUUUGCUCUCCACCAGUCAUUGAAUAACUGCAUAUCACACUUCCACCUGAGUGCUGAACUGUUCAUAAAUCUUAAACGUGGCCGUAUUUUAAAGUAAUAUUAGAUUGACUCACAGGACAAGGGUGCAGUUUUCUCCUAGCCCAGCACUAAUGGUUAGUGACUUGAGUUAUUAGUGGUGGAUUCUAGGGUCAAUUUGAGGUCAAUUGACUGGUCAGGAACACCUGGUGUCCGUCCUGAAGGUUAUAAAUCAGCGUUCAGGAGGUGUGGCGGCAGGGGAAGAAGGCACACGGUUGAAACCAUGGCACCAAGAAGGAUAAGGAAAAUCGGCAAUCAGACAGAAGGACACGCAGAUGGUCAAAUUAGCAAGGAGAUACGCCAAAAGCAAGGGACGCUUUUUAUUCAACAGUUCGAGAAAGAAGGCUGUUCAUUUUAACACAAGAACAUAUAAACGAGAUGGAGGAAAAAUUGGAGCAGACUCUUGCAACAGUAGAUCGGGUUUUCAAAGUGGAAUUGAUAAAUGCCACCUGCGCUUCAAAAAACCGUGA